rnacentral:rRNA from 1 species
AGUGAACGCUGGCGGUAGGCCUAACACAUGCAAGUCGAACGGCAGCACAGUAAGAGCUUGCUCUUACGGGUGGCGAGUGGCGGACGGGUGAGGAAUACAUCGGAAUCUACUUUUUCGUGGGGGAUAACGUAGGGAAACUUACGCUAAUACCGCAUACGACCUACGGGUGAAAGCAGGGGAUCUUCGGACCUUGCGCGAUUGAAUGAGCCGAUGUCGGAUUAGCUAGUUGGCGGGGUAAAGGCCCACCAAGGCGACGAUCCGUAGCUGGUCUGAGAGGAUGAUCGGCCACACUGGAACUGAGACACGGUCCAGACUCCUACGGGAGGCAGCAGUAGGGAAUAUUGGACAAUGGGCGCAAGCCUGAUCCAGCAAUACCGCGUGGGUGAAGAAGGCCUUCGGGUUGUAAAGCCCUUUUGUUGGGAAAGAAAAGCAGCAGGUUAAUACCCCGCUGUUCUGACGGUACCCAAAGAAUAAGCACCGGCUAACUUCGUG